rnacentral:snRNA from 1 species
GAAAUUACAGAAAAAGAUAACCACACCAUGAUCACGAAGGUGGUUUUCCCAGGGCGAGGCUUAUCCAUUGCACUCCGGAUGUGCUGACCCCUGUGAUUUCCCCAAAUGUGGGAAACUUGACUGUAUAAUUUGUGGUAGUGAGGGACUGCGUUCACGCUUUCCCCCU